ensembl:ncRNA F45B8.8 ncRNA
UUCAAUGUGCUCUAUGAGAAUUGAAAGAAAGAGGAAGAGCACCGUCGAGAAAAUAAAAACACAAAUAAAGCGCGAUAAGAGACUCUUGCGAGGAACGACGGCGGCCUUGUUUUUUCCGGGUUAAAUUUGUUUGUUCUGUUGGGAAUA